GCAUUCCAACAAUCUAAGGUAAAAGCCACUCGUGCGGUAUCACGGGAGAAUCUGCAGAGCAACACAGAUGACAAGUACUCCAGUGGCUCUUCCCUCCCUGCUGUGUCAGGCUUGUGGUACGCUCCUCCUGAAAACAAUUACUAUACAUAUCCUUCCCCUGCUCACUAUGAGUCUCCUAACCACCACGAGAAUCGUGGUGAUCAUGAGUCCCAUAAAGACAUUCAUCGUAGAUCUGAACACGAGGGUCGACAGGGGUCUUCCGGCGAGCGUACUGAUCAUAAAGCUCGUGACAAGGAUUGCUCAUCGAAGAGUGGAAGCCACCAUUACAAAACCCCUCCCCACCACUCAGUACCCAAUUACGAAAAGUCUCCACCUACAUAUCACAGUGAGCAUCACAACACUCCUUCCCCUCAUGAAUCUUCUUCCUCCCAUCCUCCUCCUCGUCCCCAUUACGAUGCACCUCCCUAUGUCCCCUACGUCCAUCAUGCACCUCUACCACCACAUGACGGCUACAAAUCUCCUCCUCCACCUGAUCAUGACAAUUACGAAGCACCUCCAAAGCAAUAUGAUCCUCCUCCAUAUUACCAGAGAGGCAAUGUUGACACCACUGCAAAAGCAGCAUCAGCGCAGCCGAAGGAGAGUUCGCCAUGAAAGGGGUUUCAAGAUUCGUAAGCCUCG
rnacentral:lncRNA from 1 species